rnacentral:rRNA from 1 species
UACGUAGGGUGCGAGCGUUGUCCGGAAUUAUUGGGCGUAAAGAGCUCGUAGGCGGCCUGUCGCGUCGGAUGUGAAAGCCCGGGGCUUAACCCCGGGUCUGCAUUCGAUACGGGCAGGCUAGAGUGUGGUAGGGGAGAUCGGAAUUCCUGGUGUAGCGGUGAAAUGCGCAGAUAUCAGGAAGAACACCAACGGCGAAGGCAGCUCGCUAGGACGGUACUGACGCUGAGACGCGAAAGCGUGGGGAGCGAACAGG